CUAUUAUGCUGAUUACUUUUUAAUAGAAAAUGCACUCACAGUUCUGCAUUAAUACUGUAAUUAUUUUCAACAUACAAACACCCUCCAAACUCAGUAGAGCCUUCAAGAUGAAUAGAGCUAUUUUCCCAUUUUGUUAUCUUUAUAUCAUCAGAUAAAAGCUGGCAAUGAGUUUAUCUGCUCUGACCAUCCUCUCAACAUGAAUUAUUACCCUCCCGCAGUGACAGGCUGCCAUUGGCUGGAUACACUGAAGAAUCAGUAAUUUAGAGUUUUUAUGCUUUGUGAUAUCAAAGUUUUGCUGGAUUGCUUUCAAGCUUGUUCAAGCUGUGCUGCCUCAGCUCACAGCAAUCAGCUGGCAUCACUUUCAUCUCCAGCUGCCUUCUUAUUUGGUGGGCUCUUGAAAGAGGAAGGGAAGGAUUCAAGUUCUACAGCCAAAUCCACAGCCUUUUGGAAAGACUUUUGCUUGUCUUUUUCUCCUGAUCUUGAUCUGCAAGUCCAGAUGCAUUGGAGUGUGUAUAAACUGGUUCAUUGCCUGUUUAUCC
ensembl:lncRNA